rnacentral:tRNA from 1 species
GGAGAGAUGUCCGAGUUGGCUUAAGGAGCACGCUUGGAAAGCGUGUGUUAGGGGAAACUCUACCAGGGGUUCGAAUCCCCUUCUCUCCG